GACAGAGGCGCCGAGCGUUAGGCGGAAUCACUGGGCUUAAAGCGUGUGUAGGCGGGUCCGUAAGUACCUUGUGAAAUCCCACGGCUCAACCGUGGAACUGCUUGGUAUACUGCCUGUCUUGAGGCACUCAGGGGCGAGCGGAACAGAUGGUGGAGCGGUGAAAUGCGUAGAUAUCAUCUGGAACGCCAAUGGUGAAGACAGCUCGCUGGGGGUGUACUGACACUGAGACACGAAAGCCAGGGGAGCAAACGGG
rnacentral:rRNA from 1 species